GCGUCUUGAGGCUAUGGAUUUGGCUGCAAAUCUUAACGUCAAGCAUUUGAUGCAAAUUUGCAGCAAACAACACGCAAACCUUGCACACAUAACUUGGCAGCAAGUUGGCGGCCGGAGCAAGGUCUUGAACUCAAGACUUGAGUGCAAGUUGACAGCAAAUUCGCAGCAACGUUUGCAUUAAAUCAGCUGAUCGCUUUAAAUGGUUCGCAUGGCGUAUAUAACCUUGGUCGUUAGGUUAGAAUUGGUAUUUCUGAAUAAAGAAGUUAGAAUUGGUAUUUAUGAAUUUACAAGUCACAGUGAGAUCGAGAAUGAACGCUGUUUAAUGCCCAAAUCACACUAACGUUUAUAUUUACGAUUGUCUCUUGAUCAAUCAGAAAAAUCGCAGUCACCAGUAGCUUUUUUCUAAUUAGUCAAGAGACGAUCGUAAACGCAAAUGUAGGCGCAGUUACCAAACGCUAUUGUUCGCUUGUGAUUUGAACAUCACAAGAAGAAAGCAAAUGUAUUGCAAUUAUCAUCUUACUUCCCAGAUGGCCUUAACGAGCCGAGUAUUAUAUAAUGAUUGACGUCCUUCGUCGCGGCCGAACCAAGUAUAUGAUGGCGCCAGUGAGUCGUGCAAACCCUCUCUGAGGCAAAGAUUGGUUGCUUCUUUCAAAGUGAAGCUGCCAAUAUAAUGAAAGUAAUUGACCUAAAACAAGCAAUAUAUUAUAUUGUCAUCCUGCGGAGGGAAAAUUGUACUGCCUUGACCAUAUUGGAAGCCUUUCUCCUGCUGCACUGGCUGUGGAGUUCGCACAUGAGACAAACUGUUAUUGGUAUACAGGAUUUGUCCGUCUUCUUUAUUCAAUAUAAAAUGUGUUUAUGUUGGUAAUUUGUUUGUGUAUGUUUGCAUGGGUG